rnacentral:rRNA from 1 species
CUUGUAGGCGGUUUGUCGCGUCUGCUGUGAAAAUCCGGGGCUCAACCCCGGACUUGCAGUGGGUACGGGCAGACUAGAGUGUGGUAGGGGAGACUGGAAUUCCUGGUGUAGCGGUGGAAUGCGCAGAUAUCAGGAGGAACACCGAUGGCGAAGGCAGGUCUCUGGGCCAUUACUGACGCUGAGAAGCGAAAGCAUGGGGAGCAAACA